rnacentral:rRNA from 1 species
CUACGGGGCGCAGCAGGGAAGAAUAUUGUACAAUGGGGGAAACCCUGAUACAGCAACGCCGCGUGAAGGAAGAAGGCCUUCGGGUUGUAAACUUCUGUGACGGGGGACGAAUAAAAUGACGGUACCCCGAGAGGAAGCUCCGGCAAACUACGUGCCAGCAGCCGCGGUAAUACGUAGGGGGCGAGCGUUGUCCGGAAUCACUGGGCGUAAAGGGCGCGUAGGCGGCCUGUUAAGUUGAAUGUGAAAUCCCGGGGCUCAACCCCGGACGUGCAUUCAAAACUGGCGGGCUUGAGUAUGGUAGAGGCAAGUGGAAUUCCUAGUGUAGCGGUGGAAUGCGUAGAUAUUAGGAGGAACACCAGUGGCGAAGGCGACUUGCUGGGCCAAAACUGACGCUGAGGCGCGAAAGCGUGGGGAGCAAACAGGAUUAGAUACCCGGGUAGUC